rnacentral:misc_RNA from 1 species
AUGGCCAGUAAAUGAUGGUCCAAUCUGCAAAAUUCUCGAAAUUAGCCACAGUUGUAACAGGCCAAAUUGAACUCAAAGAAGUCUGCAAUAACAACCUCUACUAUAUCUUAAGAGGACAUUCUCCCGUCUACUAAAUGCACAUAACAUCGUUCACCAAAGCACUUGUGAAGUUAACCACCCAAAGUUAUUACAAAACAAUGAGAAUCUGGGAUAAUGGUUCUGAUGGCAGAACGCAAAACACAAGUAAAAAAUAAAUAUAAAAAGCUUGCUAAUACGAAAUGGGCCAUAUUGCUUAAGUUCAUAUGUAGUGGUCUCACCACGACUCUGAUCCCUACUCAAUCUCAAGUUGAAAGUCUCUAUUUGAGUUUGUGGAGGAAAGAAUGGGCCAAUAUUAGCUGUAGGAAACUGUUAAUGUUAUAGCAUGUGCACAACAAAUGGGACUGAAACAAGGGCCCAAAUUAUUGUACACAACCAAACUUCCUACUGGAUUUAAAAAUAUUUAUGUUUUUACCCAUCAAUCUAGGAAAGCAAUCCCCAAUUAGAAGUUUGAAUCUUUAUAUUCAGAGAGUUAUGAAAGAAGAAAUACCACUUAAAGAACUCCUAAAGAUUCAAUCGAUGGUUUUCACACAGCAUCAAAUUUCACAAGAAAUAAUGAAAUUUUAGUGUCGCAGCGAUCAUGCAUUUAUUCCAAUUAUCAAAUCUAAAAAGUUUCUGAAUCAGUACUCCCAACAGCCAGGCUAUAUGGUUCAACAUCUCUCAGGAGAGAACGAGGAAGAUAUAAGUUUAGAAAAUGUCUGGGAUGAAAAGUGAUAAAAUAAUUAAUAAAUACCUUUAAUCAACCUAUCUGAUCAUAAAAGCAACAUGAAAGACCUCUCACUUUUAAGGAAUCAUAUUCAACUUCACAGAAGACUAAUGCCCAACAAAUAGUGUAAGCCUACAUUCAUCUAAGUUAAGGUCAUGAAAUUAGUAAGCAUAAAUCCAAUAGACAUAAGCCAAACAGAAAGAAAUAACCUCAGAGUUGUCACCAACAUUAAAGUUCACUCCAAUGGUAAAGAGUGAAUACAAAGGACAAUGUACUGUUGCACCCGAAGACUUACAACUGAAUGGGUGGGGAAUAAAGAAAAAGCAAGGAUCACCAUGAAUUUCAGUUGUUGUAUUCCUAAUAAAUAUGAAGUGGGAAAUAAACUAGAAAUAAAGUUGUAAUUUAAUGCUUACUCCAAUUCCCAUAGGCACACCAUG